rnacentral:rRNA from 1 species
AACCUCCGCAAUGUACGAAAGUGCGACGGGGGGAUCCCAAGUGUUAUGCUUUUUUGUAUAACUUUUCAUUAGUGUAAAAAGCUUUUAGAAUAAGAGCUGGGCAAGACCGGUGCCAGCCGCCGCGGUAACACCGGCAGCUCGAGUGGUAGCUGUUUUUAUUGGGCCUAAAGCGUUCGUAGCCGGUUUGAUAAGUCUUUGGUGAAAGCUUGUAGCUUAACUAUAAGAAUUGCUGGAGAUACUAUCAGACUUGAAGUCGGGAGAGGUUAGAGGUACUACCGGGGUAGGGGUGGAAUCCUAUAAUCCUGGGAGGACCACCUGUGGCGAAGGCGUCUAACUGGAACGAUCUUGACGGUGAGUAACGAAAGCCAGGGGCGCGAACCGGAUUAGAUACCCGGGUAGUCCUGGCCGUAAACGAUGUGGACUUGGUGUUGGAAUGGCUUUGAGUUGUUCCGGUGCCGAAGGGAAGCUGUAAGUCCGCCGCCUGGGAGUACGGUCGCAAGACUGAAACUUAAGGAAUUA